rnacentral:rRNA from 1 species
UACGGAGGAUCCAAGCGUUAUCCGGAAUCAUUGGGUUUAAAGGGUCCGUAGGCGGUUUAGUAAGUCAGUGGUGAAAGCUCUCCGCUUAACGGAGAAACUGCCAUUGAUACUGCCGGGCUUGAGUACAGAUGAUGUUGGCGGAAUAUGACAUGUAGCGGUGAAAUGCGUAGAUAUCGGGAGGAACACCAGUGGCGAAGGCGGCUUUCUGGCCUGCGUCUUGACGCUGAGGCGGCGAAAAGCCUAGGGUAGCAAACGGG